UGAUACAAUUUCUAAGGGCUGUUUAGUAAU
rnacentral:piRNA from 1 species